rnacentral:misc_RNA from 1 species
UCCGGCUUGUCGCCGGCGGUCCCUUUAGAGUGCCCAACUAAAUGAUGGCAACUAAAGGAGAGGGUUGCGCUCGUUGCGGGACUUAACCCAACAUCUCACGACACGAGUUGACGGCAGCCAUGCAGCACUUGUGUCCCCUGUUCCGAAGAAAAGGUGCAUUUCUGCACCGGUCAAGGGCAUGUCAAGGCCAGGUAAGGUUUUGCGCGUUGCUUCGAAUUAAACCACAUAAUCCACCGCUUGUGCGGGCCCCCGUCAAUUCCUUUGAGUUUCAACCUUGCGGCCGUACUCCCCAGGCGGGGUGCUUAACGCGUUAGCUGCGACACUGACGAGCAAGCUCGCCAACGUCUAGCACCCAUCGUUUACGGCGUGGACUAC